rfam:Verticillium dahliae VdLs.17 supercont1.5 genomic scaffold, whole genome shotgun sequence.
GCUCCAAAUGAUGAUUAUCACCUUUACAUUUUUUCUGGUACCUCUUAUUUUAGAGCUUCACGGCUCGAUGCAUUAAACGGACUUCUGAUG